UCGGAUGUGGUGUAUGAUGCACGCCCGCUUCUACUAUGUAUAAAAGGCUGGUAGGUCCAGCGGGAAGUGUGGGUUCGACUCCCACCGUCCGAA